rnacentral:rRNA from 1 species
AACUUACCAGGUCAAGACAUGGGCGUGAUUGACAGGCUAAUGACUUUUCUCGAUUCCAUGGAUGGUGGUGCAUGGUCGCACUUAGUUGGUGCAGUGAUUUGUCAGGUUUAUUCCGGUAACGAACGAGACCUCGGCCUUGUAAAUAGCUAUGCUGCUUACAGGGACAUUGGCGGCUACGCCAAGGAAGCUCGAGGCAAUUGCAGAUCUGGAAUGCCCUUAGAUGUCCUGGGUCGCACGCGUGCUACAAUGACGCCACGAACGAGCUUGCGUGAUGAAAGUUACGCAUAAUCAGCAGUCGGCGUCUUAAGGGAUAGUCUCUUGUAACUGUGGGACUCCAACUAGGAAUGUCUCGUAAGCACAAGUCAACAUCUUGUGUUGAUUACGUCCCUGCUCUUUGUACACACCGCCCGUCGCUCCUACCGAUCGAGUGUUUAGGUGAAUUUGAUGGACGUAAGGAAGUCAAAUAAACCUGAGCACUUAGCGAAGAGAAGUCGAUAAGU